rnacentral:rRNA from 1 species
ACUUCGGUCUGGUGGCGAGUGGCGAACGGGUGAGUAAUGCAUCGGAACGUGCCUAUGAGGUGGGGAUAACGUAGACGAAAGUUGCGCUAAUACCGCAUAUUCUGUGAGCAGGAAAGCAGGGGACCGCAAGGCCUUGCGCUCUUUGAGCGGCCGAUGUCAGAUUAGCUAGUUGGUGAGGUAAAGGCUUACCAAGGCGACGAUCUGUAGCGGGUCUGAGAGGAUGAUCCGCCACACUGGAACUGAGACACGGUCCAGACUCCUACGGGAGGCAGCAGUGGGGAAUUUUGGACAAUGGGGGCAACCCUGAUCCAGCCAUGCCGCGUGAGUGAAGAAGGCCUUCGGGUUGUAAAGCUCUUUCGGCCGGGAAGAAAUCGCAUGGGCCAAUACCCUGUGUGGAUGACGGUACCGGAAUAAGAAGCACCGGCUAACUACGUG